rnacentral:misc_RNA from 1 species
GCGAGAAGCAUCAUCACGACAACAAGCCACCGGUUUAUCGUUACGAGUCUCCACCGCCACCGUCACCACCCGUGUAUCAUUAUAAGUCUCCGCCACCGCCGGUUUAUCACUAUAAAUCUCCACCACCACCAGUGUAUCAUUACAAGUCUCCUCCGCCACCGGUAGUUUAUCACUAUAAGUCUCCACCGCCACCGGUAUAUCAUUACAAGUCUCCACCACCACCGCCCCCGGCAGUUUAUCACUACAAGUCUCCACCGCCACCGGUAUAUCAUUACAAGUCUCCACCACCACCGCCCCCGGCAGUUUAUCACUAC